AUUGAACGCUGGUGGCAUGCCUUACACAUGCAAGUCGAACGGCAGCGCGGACUUCGGUCUGGCGGCGAGUGGCGAACGGGUGAGUAAUACAUCGGAACGUACCCUGUUGUGGGGGAUAACUAGUCGAAAGAUUAGCUAAUACCGCAUACGACCUGAGGGUGAAAGUGGGGGACCGCAAGGCCUCACGCAGCAGGAGCGGCCGAUGUCUGAUUAGCUAGUUGGUGGGGUAAAGGCCCACCAAGGCGACGAUCAGUAGCUGGUCUGAGAGGACGAUCAGCCACAGUGGGACUGAGACACGGCCCAGACUCCUACGGGAGGCAGCAGUGGGAAUUUUGGACAAUGGGGGCAACCCUGAUCCAGCAAUGCCGCGUGUGUGAAGAAGGCCUUCGGGUUGUAAAGCACUUUUGUCCGGAAAGAAAUCGCGCUGGUUAAUACCUGGCGUGGAUGACGGUACCGGAAGAAUAAGCACCGGCUAACUACGUGCCAGCCGCCGCCGUAACAC
rnacentral:rRNA from 1 species